UGCAUCGAAGGUGCCACGUUCGCUACUAACAGGGACGUCGGAGCAGCAGCAAGCGCCAGACAACGAAGCGUUGCGAGGCAUGAGAGGCACUCGAGUGCACGGCGAAACAGGAAAACAUCGCGCACUCAGGGGAGAAAAGCGUGCCCCGUCUCUGCUGUUGAAGGCCGUAAUCUUGCGGAAGUGGCCGUAGUCGUUCCGCUCGAAGCGAAGCCUCUGUUCCGUUGCGAAGUGCACACCCCAGGGGCCAACAGACAACGGGCUUUUGUGCAUUCGCAUGCUGCGCUCCAGCUCGCGCGCCGUGCUGCGGGCGCCAGUAUUUUGCCGUAUCGUCGAUGUGAUGCGGCAGCAUGAACCCUACGCGCGUGCUGGCAUCCUGUACCCCAUUCGUGUGGAGCUUGGCGAAGGUGUGGAGGCAUGCACGCCGGCAGAGCUACAGGAGAAGAUCGACGCGAUGCUGUCCCGGUCGCAACGUUUUGCCACUGUCAAGACUGGCAACGUGUACUCGCGUAAUAACUCCGUGGCGACGGUCAUCAAGGCAUAUGGGCAGUACGUUGUCACCGGCAAUAUGCGAGGCGGGUAUGUGAAGGGGGAUCACCGCUAUGGUCCGCGCCUGACCGGGUACGGCGGCGCCACUGCGAAGCCGGGGCUGCGGUGGAACGGCGACGAUCUGUGACGUGGUGGCCGCGACGUUCUUCUCGCGAGUCCAUCUUCCUUUGUGUGGUGGAAGUCGUGAGCGCUCGAGGAACGCUCUGUGUUUUCAUGUGCAAGGCUGCAUAUUUGCCCCUUUCUUGUGGGGCGAACGGCCCUCUCUCCGCACUGUGCGAUAUGCGCACAGGUGAAGCCCACACACACGCACACGAAAAAAGAGUAAUGUACCUUCACAGGCGAGCCUCUUGAGGGCCCUAGAACUUAGCCCGGGUGCACGUGAGACGAGUGGUUGAGGGUAAAGGUGCGAAGCAUCUAGCUGUAGCAGGCUGUGCUGCCUCUGCUGGCAACCACAGCUGCGUCAUCGAAUGAGAAACGCAUGCUCAUGCCCGUCACAUUGCCCUCCGCCCUCUUCCAUGCUUUUCGCUGUUGCUCUCUCCCUCUUGCUGUCUCUCUCUCUCUCUGAGAGUGUCGGUGUCGUACCACCCGUUGCUGAGUUCACGCAG
rnacentral:misc_RNA from 1 species